rnacentral:tRNA from 1 species
GCCCUUGUAGCUCAAUGGCAAGAGCCUGAGGUGUGCCGGUCCAAGUCCGGCCAAGGGCA